AGUGAACGCUGGCAGUAGGCCUAACACAUGCAAGUCGAACGGCAGCACAGUAAGAGCUUGCUCUUACGGGUGGCGAGUGGCGGACGGGUGAGGAAUACAUCGGAAUCUACUUUUUCGUGGGGGAUAACGUAGGGAAACUUACGCUAAUACCGCAUACGACCUACGGGUGAAAGCAGGGGAUCUUCGGACCUUGCGCGAUUGAAUGAGCCGAUGUCGGAUUAGCUAGUUGGCGGGGUAAAGGCCCACCAAGGCGACGAUCCGUAGCUGGUCUGAGAGGAUGAUCAGCCACACUGGAACUGAGACACGGUCCAGACUCCUACGGGAGGCGGCAGUGGGGAAUAUUGGACAAUGGGCGCAAGCCUGAUCCAGCCAUACCGCGUGGGUGAAGAAGGCCUUCGGGUUGUAAAGCCCUUUUGUUGGGAAAGAAAAGCAGCAGGUUAAUACCCCGCUGUUCUGACGGUACCCAAAGAAUAAGCACCGGCUAACUUCGUG
rnacentral:rRNA from 1 species